UGGAAAAACAAUGGAAACUUCAGAAAUAUGUUGCAAACAGUGAAUGAGACCCUGCAGUGUCUUCUAAAUACUUCCAACAUGAUUGUCUGGACAUGUGUCUUUGGUGCUUCCUUUCCGAAAGGAUGAUGGAAAUAGAGUCCUUGAAUAUUUUUAAGGCACAGGUUUCGAAACCAGGACCCAUGUUCCUCACUCUCUUCACUGGGGCCUGUCAGUUACAUUCCAGAGUUGCCUUCAGUCUGGCUUCUGUCACUUCCUCUUCUCACAGACCUGACUGCACUCCCACAAUAGGCAUUGAACCUGAUACUGCUGGGAACUAUGUACAUUGAUUAGCAGCUCUUGAAAAUCUUGAAAUUUCUACACAGACUGGGGCCAGAAGUCACAUCUUUGACAAAUAAUUGCAUCAAAUGGAUGAUGAGCAUCCACUUUUGUUCACAAAUAGAAUGACAGUCAUCGUCCGAAUCAAAGGAGUAGGGGGAGAAAAGGCCCCUUGUAAAAUCUAAAGCAGAGUUAAUGUUUCAGUUUAAUUUCUAUUUCUUUCUCUACAAAUGCUACCAGACCUGCUGAGCAUUUACACCAUUUUUAAGAUUUUAUUAAU